GAUGAACGCUGGCGGCGUGCCUAAUACAUGCAAGUCGAGCGAACAGAUGAGGAGCUUGCUCCUCUGACGUUAGCGGCGGACGGGUGAGUAACACGUGGAUAACCUACCUAUAAGACUGGGAUAACUUCGGGAAACCGGAGCUAAUACCGGAUAAUAUAUUGAACCGCAUGGUUCAAUAGUGAAAGACGGUUUUGCUGUCACUUAUAGAUGGAUCCGCGCCGCAUUAGCUAGUUGGUAAGGUAACGGCUUACCAAGGCAACGAUGCGUGGCCGACCUGAGAGGGUGAUCGGCCACACUGGAACUGAGACACGGUCCAGACUCCUACGGGAGGCAGCAGUAGGGAAUCUUCCGCAAAGGGCGAAAGCCUGACGGAGCAACGCCGCGUGAGUGAUGAAGGUCUUCGGAUCGUAAAACUCUGUUAUUAGGGAAGAACAAAUGUGUAAGUAACUAUGCACGUCUUGACGGAACCUAAUCAGAAAGCCACGGCUAACUACGUG
rnacentral:rRNA from 1 species